AAUAAACGCUGGCGGCGUGCUUAACACAUGCAAGUCGAACGUGAAAGUUUCUUCGGAAACGAGUAAAGUGGCGAACGGGUGAGUAACGCGUGAGAAUCUGCCCUAUAGUGAAGGAUACUACCGAGAAAUUGGUAUUAAUACUGCAUACCUUCGAAAGAAGAAAGGUGGCCUAAAAGCUGCCGCUAAAGGAUGAGCUUGCGUGCUAUUAGCUAGUUGGUGGGGUAAUGGCCUACCAAGGCGAUGAUGGCUAGCCGGCCUGAGAGGGUGUACGGCCACAUUGGAACUGAGAAACGGUCCAGACUCCUACGGGAGGCAGCAGUGAGGAAUAUUGCACAAUGGGCGAAAGCCUGAUGCAGCCACACCGCGUGAAGGAUGAAGGUCUUCGGAUUGUAAACUUCUGUUAAAUGGGAAAAAGAGUCUUCCUGAAUAGGGAAGAAGAUGAUGGUACCAUUAGAGAAAGCACCGGCUAACUUCGUG
rnacentral:rRNA from 1 species